UAGGGAAUCUUCCACAAUGGACGCAAGUCUGAUGGAGCAACGCCGCGUGAGUGAAGAAGGUUUUCGGAUCGUAAAGCUCUGUUGUUGGUGAAGAAGGAUAGAGGCAGUAACUGGUCUUUAUUUGACGGUAAUCAACCAGAAAGUCACGGCUAACUACGUGCCAGCAGCCGCGGUAAUACGUAGGUGGCAAGCGUUGUCCGGAUUUAUUGGGCGUAAAGCGAGCGCAGGCGGAAUGAUAAGUCUGAUGUGAAAGCCCACGGCUCAACCGUGGAACUGCAUCGGAAACUGUCAUUCUUGAGUGCAGAAGAGGAGAGUGGAAUUCCAUGUGUAGCGGUGGAAUGCGUAGAUAUAUGGAAGAACAUCAGUGGCGAAGGCGGCUCUCUGGUUUGCAACUGACGCUGAGGCUCGAAAGCAUGGGUAGCGAACAGG
rnacentral:rRNA from 1 species